CACGGCGCACGGGUGCGUAACACGUGGGCAAUCUGCCCUCCGAUGGGGAAUAACCCCGCGAAAGCGGGGCUAAUUCCGCAUAACAUUCCCUGGACUCCGGUUCGGGGAUUCAAAGCAGCAAUGCGUCGGAGGAGGAGCCCGCGCCCGAUUAGCUAGUUGGUGAGGUAACGGCUCACCAAGGCUAUGAUCGGUAGCUGGUCUGAGAGGAUGGCCAGCCACACUGGAACUGAGACACGGUCCAGACUCCUACGGGAGGCAGCAGUGGGGAAUCUUGCACAAUGGGCGAAAGCCUGAUGCAGCGACGCCGCGUGGGGGAUGAAGCUUCUCGGAGUGUAAACCCCUUUCGACCGGGACGAAUGCCCGCAAGGGACUGACGGUACCGGUAUAAGAAGCCCCGGCUAACUACGUGCCAGCAGCCGCGGUAAGACGUAGGGGGCCAGCGUUGCUCGGAAUUACUGGGUGUAAAGGGUUCGUAGGCGGUGUAGCAAGUCGGGAGUGAAAUCUCUGGGCUCAACUCAGGGGCUGCUUCCGAAACUGCUGUGCUAGAGUGUGGGAGAGGCGCGUGGAAUUGCAGGUGUAGCGGUGAAAUGCGUAGAUAUCUGCAGGAACACCCGUGGCGAAAGCGGCGCGCUGGACCACUACUGACGCUGAGGAACGAAAGCUAGGGGAGCAAACAGGAUUAGAUACCCUGGUAGUCCUAGCCCUAAACGAUCAGGACUUGGGGUGCCACCCGUUCGGGUGUCGUCCCGGAGCUAACGCGUUAAGUCCUGCACCUGGGGAGUACGGUCGCAAGACUGAAACUCAAAUGAAUUGACGGGGGCCCGCACAAGCGGUGGAGCAUGUGGUUUAAUUCGA
rnacentral:rRNA from 1 species